rnacentral:lncRNA from 1 species
AAUCCUUGGGAUUUUUUAAAAAGUCUAUCCCAAUCCUUGGGAUUUUUAAAAAGUCUAUCCCGAUGUUGGGAAUAAAGUCUAUCCCAAUCCUUGGGAUUUUUUUAAAAAGUCUAUCCCAAUCUUUGGGAUUUUUUAAAAAGUCUAUCCCACUUCUUGGGAUUUUUUUUUUUAAAAGUCUAUCCCUAUCCUUGGGAUUUUUUAAAAAAGUCUAUCCCAAUCCUUGGGAUUUUUUAAAAAGUCUAUCCCCAUCCUUGGGAUUUUUUUAAAAAGUCUAUCCCAAUCCUUGGGAUUUUUUAAAAAGUCUAUCCCAAUGUUGGGAAUAAAGUCUAUCCCAAUCCUUGGGAUUUUUUAAAAAGUCUAUCCCACUUCUUGGGAUUUUUCGAAAAAGUCGAGGAGCUUUUGUCGUGAGUAUCUUUGAGUCACAGACGGCGCCAACUGAUGGGGGUGAAACCCGAC